ACUUAGGUCCCCUUCAGACUCAGGGCCUUUGGUCUCCUCAGGAUCUAAGCUUCCAUAUAAAUAUAAGGGAACUAUAGGCCAUCCAUUUGGCUUGCCUGGCAUUCCUUACAUAUAUCAAGGGGUGAAGUUGUUGGUACUCUCAGACAAUACAGUGACUAUGUUCUAUGCAAAUAAACAAGGGGUGCCCCUCUGACAAAGAUAUGUCAGGAGGCGAUCAUUCUUUUGAAUUUCUGCAUUGCCAGAUCCAUCAACCUGAGAGCUGCAUACCUUCUGGGAGUUCAGAACACACUGGCAGGCCAGCUGAAUAGGUAAUUUGCAGGUCUCUGCGAGUGGUAUCUUUGCCCAGAUGUAUUCAGGUCCAUUUUCCAGUGAUGGGGAGCUCCCCAAGUGAACCUAUUUUGCAACAAGAGCAAACAAAAAAUGUAGUCUUUUUUUGUUUCCAGCAGGGUCAUAGCCUGGGUUCACAGAUGGAUGCUUUCCUCCUACCCAGGUCUAAAGGCCUGCUGUAUGCCUUCCCUUCAGUUCUGCUCCUAGCAACAGUCUUGUCCAAAGUCAAGCAAGAUUCCACGUGUCCCUGUCAACAUUGGUUUUCAACUCUGCUUGUCCUGUCAGUCAGACCUCCACUGCCAUUCUCAAGACGUGGACCCAGCUGCCUCCUUCACUCCAACCUUCAGGCUCUCUACCUGACUGCAUUGAUGCUUCAUGGCUGACAACCUCAGAACGACUUUGCUCUAAGGGGCUACAGCAAGUUCUGCUAAAUAGUAGGACGCCUUUAUCUAGAUCUGCUUACUUUGCUAAAUGGAAGAGAUUUUCCAUUUUGGUCCAUACAAAGAGGCAUCCCCCCAGGUCAGGCUCUGAUUUGCCAUAUCUUGGACUAUCUUUUGUUUCUAAAAUGACAGUAUUAUUAGCACUUAGCCACCAUAUGGACUCUUUUGGAACUAUCUCAGCUUUCUAUCCUCCCGUGGAUAACUGAUCCAUUUUUUCAAACCCUGUGUUCGUCAAAUUUCUUAAGGGUUUGUUCCACAGGUUCACAGCCUGGUUCCACAGUGGAGUUUAAAUUCAGUUUUGGCACAGUUGAUUUGUCUCCUCUCUUCCCCUUUGAAUCUCUAGUGACUUGUUUUGUUACACAUGUCUAUGAAGGUGGCUUUUUUGGUUGCUAGAACCUCAAUCAAGAGAGUAGGUGAGCUGCAAGCCUUAGUGUCAGAGUCUCCCUAUACAAUUUUAUUUAGGGACAAGGUUUUCCUUCGACCUCACCCAAAAUUCCUGUCUAACGUGAUUUCCGAUUUGCACAUUAAUCAAGCAGUUCAUUUAUGGACUUUCUUUCCAAAGCCUUAUUUGAGUAAAGGGAAAGAAAAGUGAUGCUGUAGGUGUUAGAGCUUUGGCUUUUUAUCUGGAUACAGCUAGGCCUUUCAGGUCUUCAUCUCAGCUCUUAGUUUCAGAAUAAAGGGCUACCCAGUAUCCACACAGAAGAUCUCUUGCUGUAUUGGUUUAUGCUACCAGUUGGAUGAUAUUGCACCUCCAAAUAAAGUGGUGGCUCACUCAAUCAGGUCACUGGUAACUGCCACGGCCUUUCUAGCUUGUGCACCUAUACUGGAUGUUUUUUGUAGGGCGGCAACCUGGUCAUCGGUCCAUAAAUUUGCAUUUCACUAUGCCUUCUCUCACCAAUCUAGAGAUGGUACCAGAUUUGAACUGGUGGUCCUACAAUCCCUUUUCAAUUAGACUCCGAGCCCACUACCUGUUUGAACUGCUUGUGAGUCACCUACAGUGGAUUGGAUGUGUGUAAUCACUUGAAAAAGAAAAAAAACUGUUAUGUACUUUUUCAAGAUUGUUUUGAAGAUGUGUUGCACAUGUCCAUUCCAGAACCCACCCUCCAUCCCCUCUCUAUCAGUGUCUUUCUGGUAAGAAGGAACUAGGGCGGGGGGAUGGGGGGUCAGAAACAACAUGGCCUCUUAUACCUACAUACCAUGGUGCGAGGCACCAGAGGUGCUCAGACUGCCCCAACAGGAACUACGGAGGAAAAAAUUUCCACUAACUGUGCAUGAGGUGUGCGCAUACCUACAGCGGAAUGGACGUGUGUAACUCAUCUUGAAGAACAACAGUUAUGGAAAGGUAGGUAACUGUUUUUUCCUUCAAUCUCUUUCCCCCUCCUCCAAUUACCAGGGGGUGAGAGGGAGGUGUUUUUGCUGCCCUCAUUCCUUUUCAUCUUCUUGUAUUGUAUUUAAAAAAAAAAAAUUCUUUUCUGCUAACACUCCUUGACUCAGAACUAUUGCUUGUCUGGGGCCACUUCAUGAAAUCAUGCUUUUUAUGUCCCUAGGAUUAGCUAUGUUUUCUAAAAUUAUUUUACACUAAGUCUUUUCUGGUUUUGGCAGUUUUCUACCUAACAUUGUCAGGACAGUAUCAGAUGAAAAACAAGGUGCCAUUCUCUUUGGUUUUGUUGAUGUUUUAUUUUUAUUUUAAAGUGUGUAUAUUUCUGUGACGUUGCUUAGUUUCAUGAAAAUUUUUGUGAUGGUUUUGGCAAGGUGGGAAAUCAACUUUCUUUGUUGGAGAUUUAAAAAAGAUUAAGACCUUGUUGCUUGGACAAGACUAGUAGGCAAGAUCUAAUUCACAACUAUAUAAGAGACACAGGCAUCUUUAGGUAGUUUAAAA